GGGAGACGGGCGGGGAGCGCGCGCCUGAGGUCGCCGCCUCCUGCUUUCGACCCCGGAGCCCCUCCGCAGAGCGACGGUUGAGGCUCGAGACCAACUACUACACUGUACUUCCACGUUCACCAAAUGCAGUGCCUGGCAAGAGCAAAUGUUGAAUGAAUUAAUGUCUACCACGACUCUUCACGAGCAGAGGACUUCAAGUAGGGACUGCCUGCUGAAACAGACUGCAAACUGAAGACCUCACAAGCCUUAUCAUCUGAAUCUGUGGUUCUCAUUCCUUGUUGCACAUUCACAUCACCUGGAUAUCUUUCACAAAAUACGUAAACCCUAAAGACUCCCUCAGGUAUUCUAAUUCAACUGAUCUCAUUUAGAUUCAGGCUAUUCUAUAAGUUUAUUCUCUCUUUCAUUUGCCUGCGUCCGAAGAAGACAAUAACAAAUGAAUUUUUCAGAACCACCUGUUCCUGUGCAGGGCCCUCCAUUUGGCGCCACUCACAAACAUCUCGUGACAUAACCACUUUUAAGAGUCUUCUUUACAGUCCGACAUAAAAGAAGAAGGAACAAAGGGAAUUUUUCAUGGCAUCAGAAUCAAAACUGCCACUGUUGCACAAGAGCUCAGUUUUUCAUACUGGUCACUCCAGUUUGGGGCCACCAAGACAACUCCAGAAACAUCUCUAGCACACAAAGACAGCAUCAGGCCAGUUUCCACUAGAAUGUUCCUUCCAGUACUGCCCCCGACCCAUUGAAACAGACUCUGAUCAAGCCUCUAGAUAUAACUAUCAUUCUAUAGAAAUUGAGAGUCAUAAAGGAAUAUCACAGACGACACCAGGAGGAUGCAAUCAGCCAAAUCCAAAAUGUGGGAACUUCUACAGGGCAAGUAACCAAUUCCAAAAAAUAGCUAAGGGGAACUGGUAUAAAUCAAAAGAGACAUAAGAGCUAUCUCCACAACCUGUAAUAUGCAUACCUUGUUUGGAUCUGGACUCAAACAAAGAAAUGUAAAAAAAAACUCUUGAGACA